CACACCGUAUUUCUAGCAAGGUCGGAUCCAGACUCAGAGUACCCGGCUUGGUUGGCUUCUCAGGACUGACUCAUCUCAGGAACAGUCCUCAUUUUAUGCCUAAGAUUCUGAACACGACCCUCUUUGAGAGCUGGGAGAUAAUCGGGCCUUAUGCUUCAUGGUGGCUCCUCAAUGGCCUGCUGCUGACCCUACAGGUUCUGCAUGUCAUCUGGUCCUACCUAAUUGCACGGAUUGCUUUGAAAGCCUUGAUCAGGGGAAAGAUGGAAUCUCGCUCUGUUGCCCAGGCUGGAGUGCAAUGGCAUGAUCUUGGCUCACCACAACCUCCACCUCCUGGGUUCAAGCGAUUCUCCUGCCUCAGCCUCCCUAGUAGCUGGGAUUACAGGCGCAUGCCACCAUGCCUGGCUAAUUUUUGUAUUCUUAGUAGAAACGGGGUUUCACUAUGUUGGCCAGGCUGGUCUCUAACUCCUGACCUUGUGAUCGGCCCACCUCGACCUCCCGAAGUGCUGGGAUUACAGGCGUGAGCCACCGCACCUGGCCUGCCUGU
rnacentral:sRNA from 1 species